UACGUAGGGGGCUAGCGUUGUCCGGAUUUAUUGGGCGUAAAGAGCGUGUAGGCGGCCAGGUAGGUCUGCUGUGAAAACUCGAGGCUCAACCUCGAGACGUCGGCGGAAACCAUCUGGCCAGAGUCCGGAAGAGGAGAGUGGAAUUCCUGGUGUAGCGGUGAAAUGCGCAGAUAUCAGGAAGAACACCCGUGGCGAAGGCGGCUCUCUGGGACGGUACUGACGCUGAGACGCGAAAGCGUGGGGAGCGAACAGGG
rnacentral:rRNA from 1 species